CCUACGGGAGGCAGCAGUGAGGAAUAUUGGUCAAUGGUCGGGAGACUGAACCAGCCAAGCCGCGUGAGGGAUGAAGGUACAGAGUAUCGUAAACCUCUUUUGUCAGGGAACAAAGGCGGGGACGUGUCCCCGGAUGAGUGUACCUGAAGAAAAAGCAUCGGCUAACUCCGUGCCAGCAGCCGCGGUAAUACGGAGGAUGCGAGCGUCAUCCGGAUUUAUUGGGUUUAAGGGGUGCGCAGGCGGUCUGUUAAGUCAGCGGUCAAAGCCCGGGGCUCAACCCCGGCCCGCCGUUGAAACUGGCAGGCUCGAGUUGGAGAGAAGUAUGCGGAAUGCGCGGUGUAGCGGUGAAAUGCAUAGAUAUCGCGCAGAACUCCGAUUGCGAAGGCAGCAUGCCGGCUCCACACUGACGCUGAGGCACGAAAGCGUGGGUAUCGAACAGGAUUAGAUACCCCUGUAGUC
rnacentral:rRNA from 1 species